CAGUCGCCGCGGUAAUACGUAGGGUGCGAGCGUUAAUCGGAAUUACUGGGCGUAAAGCGUGCGCAGGCGGUUCGUUAAGACAGAUGUGAAAUCCCCGGGCUCAACCUGGGAACUGCAUUUGUGACUGGCAAGCUAGAGUGUGACAGAGGGGGGUGGAAUUCCGCGUGUAGCAGUGAAAUGCGUAGAUAUGCGGAGGAACGCCGAUGGCGAAGGCAGCCCCCUGGGCCAACACUGACGCUCAUGCACGAAAGCGUGGGGAGCAAACAGGAUUAGAGACCCCUGUAGUCCCUGUCUCUUAUAC
rnacentral:rRNA from 1 species